GUAGUUUUGUGACUAUCAAUAACACAAAUACUCCUUCACUCUGGGACAUAAUUUGGACACUAACUCAAGGUCACUGUGUUCUUCCUAUCUUGGCCUGCUAACAGACCCAGAAUUGUGUUGCCACUUCAGAGAAAAUAUCUUGCAAAAUGAGUGAGCUAUUGUAAAGAUUGAGAAUAUAAUGAUCCAGAUCCUGGCCCCUGCUAGCCUCCCUUGGUACCACCUAGCAAUGCAAAGGGGACAUAAAAAGGACUUCACCGGCUAGGGCUAUCAAGAGAUCUAGUUCUGCCUCCUGGAUUAAAAGGAAAGGGUCCCUACUCUCUUUUCUUCCUUCAUUUUUGUACUCCAGCACAUCAGAAUAUCUAGCCAAGGUCUAAUCCUGCACCUACUGAAGUCGCAAGUGACGUGCUCUUUCCUGGAGAUUUUGUUGUUGUUUCCUUUGUUCUCUGAAUAGAAAGUUAAGAUAUUUCUGACUAAUU